AUGGCGUCCAAGGCAUUCCCAGCUCUGGUCCUUCUGGCGCUCGUCUGCAGCCAGCUCGUGGUCGGCGGCCAUGCCCAGCCCUACAUCGGCGGCACCAGGGGAGGAGGAGGAUCUGCCGCCGGACUGCGGCCACCGACUUCCAUUACUACCCAUGCCCACUCCUCCACCGUUGUUUGGGUUGGGGCCAUACCAGGAGGAUACGACGGGACUGGAAGGCCUUCAGCCGUGGAAGAAGACAAGGCCUUCAUGAUCAACAGCCUGCUGGCGCACGACCGCCUGCUUCCUGUCUCGCCGUCCGGUCACUAG
rnacentral:rRNA from 1 species